UACAGAGGGUGCGAGCGUUGUUCGGAAUUAUUGGGCGUAAAGCGUCCGCAGGUGGCAAUGUAAGUCUGCUGUCAAAGCGUCUGGCUCAACCAGAUAAAGGCAGUGGAAACUACAUAGCUAGAGUAAGGUAGGGGUAGAGGGAAUUCCUGGUGUAGCGGUGAAAUGCGUAGAGAUCAGGAAGAACACCGGUGGCGAAAGCGCUCUGCUGGACCUUAACUGACACUGAGGGACGAAAGCUAGGGGAGCGAAUGGG
rnacentral:rRNA from 1 species